rnacentral:rRNA from 1 species
GAUGAACGCUAGCGGCAGGCUUAAUACAUGCAAGUCGAGGGGCAGCACGGUUAGCAAUAACUGGUGGCGACCGGCGCACGGGUGCGUAACACGUAUACAAUCUACCUUAAACAGGGGGAUAGCCUUUCGAAAGAGAGAUUAAUACCCCGUAAUAAAUUGAACGGCAUCGUUUGAUUUUGAAAGCUCCGGCGGUUUGAGAUGAGUAUGCGUCUGAUUAGCUAGUUGGUGAGGUAACGGCUCACCAAGGCGACGAUCAGUAGGGAUCUGAGAGGACUAACCCCCACACUGGUACUGAGACACGGACCAGACUCCUACGGGAGGCAGCAGUAAGGAAUAUUGGUCAAUGGAGGCAACUCUGAACCAGCCAUGCCGCGUGCAGGAUGACGGCCCUAUGGGUUGUAAACUGCUUUUAUACAAGAGAAAACCCUGGUACGUGUACCAGGUUGAUAGUAUUAGUAAGAAUAAAGCAUCGGCUAACUUCGUGCCAG